CCCGGGCCUUGUACACACCGCCCGUCACGUCAUAGAAAGUCGGUAACACCCGAAGCCGGUGGCCCAACCCGUGAGGGAGGGAGCUGUCGAAGGUGGGACUGGCGAUUAGGACG
rnacentral:rRNA from 1 species